AAUCAAAAUUAUGGUUACUAUUCGGCGUCGUUGCAUAGGCGGUGUCCGUUAAAUUUUUCGCUCAAAACCCUUCACCGCUUUUGUUUGACCAUUCUUGGCCAAAAAUAUAUACUCUAACUCAGCACACACAAAUUUAUACAAUACAUUAUUAGUUAGAAAAUAUAAGAAUUUUUUUUUUUUUUUAAAAAGAUGAUAUUUUCAAGAGGUUUGUCUCAGAUUUCUAGAAAUCGUUUCAGUAGAUGUCGAUGCUUAUUUUCAUUACGUCCACAGCAACAAUUAUACCAUUCACCAAUCCAUGCUUCUCAAAAGGUUUUGGGUUGCAGAGUAAUUCAUUCAUGGGUUUCUAAUGCUCUUAGUGGUAUUGGGCAACAAAUUCAUCAUCAAAGCACUGUUAUAGCAGAGGAGCAAGUGGACCCAUUUUCUCUUGUUGCGGAUGACUUAUCCCUUCUCUCAAACAGGCUGAGAUCUAUGGUAGUUGCUGAGGUCCCAAAGCUGGCUUCAGCUGCUGAGUAUUUCUUCAAAAUGGGAGUAGAAGGGAAGAGGUUUCGUCCCACAAUUCUGCUGUUGAUGGCAACCGCAUUGAACGUACCGAUUCCUAGAUCUGCACCCCAGGUGGAUGUUGAUUCUGUGUCCAGGGAUUUGCGUACAAGGCAGCAGUCUAUAGCUGAUAUCGCUGAGAUGAUCCAUGUUGCCAGCCUACUUCAUGAUGAUGUACUGGAUGAUGCUGACACAAGACGUGGGAUAGUUUCUUUAAACUUGGCGAUGGGAAAUAAGCUUUGUCUGGAGUCACUUGCUGCCUUUGCACCUGAUUCUGUGUGGCCCCCCAUGUGUGAAAGGGUGUUGUUGUUUCUGUUGUGAGCCUUUUCCCUGCAUAGUCGACAAUGGUUUAUCACUCCUCUGUUUCUCCUGUCCUACCACUGUGCUCGGUGCUUCUGAAGUCACUGAUGAUAUCUAUGCUGUUGGUUCUGUUCAAAUUAUACAGCUCCUGUUUCCUGUUGCUGAAUUGGUCCUUUAGCAAUCCAGGUGGGGACUAUUUUCUUUGGUCGCUGCCUUCUUUCAGAUAGCAGUACUAGCUGGAGACUUUCUGCUUUCCCGAGCAUGUGUGGCACUUGCCUCUUUGAAGAAUACCGAGGU